rnacentral:rRNA from 1 species
AACGAACGCUGGCGACAUGCCUAACACAUGCAAGUCGAACGAGUUCUUCGGGUCUAGUGGCGCACGGGUGCGUAACGCGUGGGAAUCUGCCCUUUGGCUCGGAAUAACCGUUGGAAACGACUGCUAAUACCGGAUGAUGACGAAAGUCCAAAGAGUUACGGCCAGAGGAUGAGCCCGCGUAGGAUUAUCUAGUUGGUGUGGUAAAGGCGCACCAAGGCGACGAUCCUUACCUGUUCUGAGAGGACGAUCAGCCACACUGGGACUGAGACACGGCCCAGACUCCGACGGGAGGCAGCAGUGGGGAAUAUUGGACAAUGGGCGAAAGCCUGAUCCAGCAAUGCCGCGUGAGUGAUGAAGGCCUUAGGGUUGUAAAGCUCUUUUACCCGGGAUGAUAAUGACAGUACCGGGAGAAUAAGCUCCGGCUAACUCCGUGCCAGCCGCCGCUGUAA